rnacentral:lncRNA from 1 species
UGUAGAAAGAAAAUUCUCUAAAGAGAUUGUUCCAGAAAAUUUCUAGAGAUAUUUUUCUAAAUUACAACUUGACCAAAAAUUUUAAAGAAAUUACUAAAUUACCCCACUGGUAAUUUUUGUAAAAAUUUUUCUGAUUCGAAGCGAGCCCACACUCGGCAGACGUGAGCUUGAAGAUAGCGGAGAAGACCACUCGGUUGAAGCGCUCAUCCUAGAUGAAUCAAAAAGGUACAAUUCUAAUUAAGUAUUUAUUACUUUAAAUAUCAUAAUCAAGAUCUUACUUUUGGAAUAAUUUUAAAACUCUAGUUUUUCCUAAAUUUAUUUUCCGCUACAUUUUUCAAAACCGUUCUUUUCCAAAAAAAAUAUCUGAUAGAUAUUAAAUAAUUCGGAUAGUAACUCUUGGGAUUGGAUUAUCUAGGUUUUCAAACUGCCACCAAUAAACAAUGUAGGCUUUUUUGUUGUGGUCUAUGGGCACUCCGGAUAAGUAGAAAUCACUUCAUGCAUGAAAGGAAAAAUAUGUUAGGAAAAGAGAUCUCAGACUAAACCACUAAUUACUUAAGAGAACUAGAUGGUUUAGAAAGGAAAACUCUUACCCGUAGGACUGUUCAUGAAACAUGGGUUUUAGGCAAGAUCAACUUCGAUGGUGCUUUUGACCCCCAUCAGGCAAGAUCUGGUUUUGGGGUGGUGGCGAGGAACUCAUCGGAGGAAAUCAUGGCUUCUAUGACCAUCUGCCACAAAUUAAUUUAUUCUCUGCUUGCUGCGGAGGCUCGGGAGUUGUGUUAGGCCUUCUAUUGGGACUAGAGUGUGUGACAAUUGAAGGCGACUCCUUGACGAUAAUCAAGAAAGCUAAAUCAAUUAGUAAAGAAAAAUCAGAGAUCGAGGCUAUUGUCACAAACAUUCAACAAUACAAAAAACGCUUUCAACAGAUUAACUUUCGGCAAAAUUCAAGAUUGGGGAACUUCCUUGCUCAUCAUCUAGCUAAAGCAAGUCUAGAAAAGGGGGAAGAUAUUUACCUGGUAGGUGGCGUUCCGGACUGAUUUGGAAAGGGGAGAGUUUUUUGGAAAGCAAAGGGUAGCAGACAAACGUUUUGGGGGAUUUCUUCUUGGAAACUUAUAUCUUCCCUUGUUAUCUGGCGAAAGCAUUAAAUGCGCUUUAAUGAUGAUUUGAUAGAGG